rnacentral:lncRNA from 1 species
GUCUGUUACUGUCACUGUGUUCCUGACAUACGAACAACAGUACAAACUCAAACUCUGUGCUGCGGAUUUAAACUUAGACCGUUCAGGAGAUAUUUCCUGGGAAAUUCGAGGUAAGACACUUAUUUGCCAAAUAAACAAUCUAAAUGCCCCCCCCCUGCAGUUUAUUGCAUCCCUUGUCCUCAGUCUGCUUUGAAGAAAAAAUCCAAUUCUCUGCAAGUCAGCAUCUCUGUUCUGCAAGAAGCAAACGGUUCUCCGUCCCCGGGACUGAGAGGCACAGCGACGUCUGGAGCAUCAAGCCACCAGAUUUCUCUCUUAAACUCUACAGCUCUCUGUCAGUUCCUCAGAAGGACGAAAGAAAGACUCAUUUGAAUCUAGCUUUAACUAAAUCAAGUGAAACGAAGAGGAGAACUGGAACAUUUCUACCACGUGUUUUACAUGAGAGUUGCCGGAGGGAAGAGUCUCCAAAGUUCAUCACAUCAUACAGGCCUCCAGAUUCUCUGGAAUCCGAGCUGAUGUUUGUUAAGACUGGGAAGUAUCUUUCCGGGUCUUACAAGAACCCCACACCACAUAACUUCAGACCACUCAAUGAGGAACUUCCAGACAUCGUUACAACCUACGAGAGAGAUGCUGGUAACCUGAAGUUAAAGUUAAAGCACUUGGACAUUAUUCGGACCAUUUCCCCCAGACACGGAUCAGAGUCAGAUUUAAGUUCAAGGGACACAAAGACAAGGAUGGACAUGUUUAAACCUGCAGAGCCCAGAUGGGAUGCGGGGCUCAUACUCCCUCAGCUGCUCUGGCCUCCAAAAUCAGCGUCCUUUACUAGACACAGACGAAGAAGAGGAGCGUACAGCGCAUUCUUGGACCGCGUGGAGGAGAAACUCUCGAGAUCAUGGGAAAAUAGAUCAUGACUAAAAACAUGAGCUAAUUUGGCUUUCUUAAAAUGGUACAUAAUUAUAACAUUUAAACAAACGUUUAGAUGUUUGUGAACACAGCAAAAAAACUGUGCUUUAGGAAACAAAUAAGACAAAUAUAAAAUGUCAAUUAUCAUGCAUGUUUUAGUCCAUUCACUACAAUUCAGAUCUAUGUUAUAAUAAAGCACACAUUACUUAAACCAUUUCCCAAAGCAUGUUGUGU